UACGAAGGGGGCUAGCGUUGUUCGGAAUUACUGGGCGUAAAGCGCACGUAGGCGGGUUGUUAAGUCAGGGGUGAAAUCCUGGAGCUCAACUCCAGAACUGCCUUUGAAACUGCUUGGCUUGAAUCCUGGAGAGGCGAGUGGAAUUCCGAGUGUAGAGGUGAAAUUCGUAGAUAUUCGGAAGAACACCAGUGGCGAAGGCGACUCGCUGGACAGGUAUUGACGCUGAGGUUCGAAAGCGUGGGGAGCAAACAGG
rnacentral:rRNA from 1 species